UACGUAGGGUGCGAGCGUUAAUCGGAAUUACUGGGCGUAAAGUGUGCGCAGGCGGCCGAGCAAGUCGAGUGUGAAAGCCCCGGGCUUAACUUGGGAAUUGCGCUCGAAACUACUUGGCUAGAGUGUGGCAGAGGAAGGUGGAAUUCCACGUGUGGCGGUGAAAUGCGUAGAGAUGUGGAGGAACACCGAUGGCGAAGGCAGCCUUCUGGGCCAACACUGACGCUCAUGCACGAAAGCGUGGGGAGCAAACAGG
rnacentral:rRNA from 1 species